GAAUGCUGACAUAAGUAACGAUAAAGCGGGUGAAAAGCCCGCUCGCCGGAAGACCAAGGGUUCCUGUCCAACGUUAAUCGGGGCAGGGUGAGUCGACCCCUAAGGCGAGGCCGAAAGGCGUAGUCGAUGGGAAACGGGUUAAUAUUCCCGUACUUGGUGUUACUGCGAAGGGGGGACGGAGAAGGCUAUGUUGGCCGGGCGACGGUUGUCCCGGUUUAAGCGUGUAGGUGUGUGUUCCAGGUAAAUCCGGUUCACUUUAACACUGAGGCGUGAUGACGAGGCACUACGGUGCUGAAGCAACAAAUGCCCUGCUUCCAGGAAAAGCCUCUAAGCAUCAGGUAACAUCAAAUCGUACCCCAAACCGACACAGGUGGUCAGGUAGAGAAUACCAAGGCGCUUGAGAGAACUCGGGUGAAGGAACUAGGCAAAAUGGUGCCGUAACUUCGGGAGAAGGCACGCUGACACGUAGGUGAAGUGAUUUACUCAUGGAGCUGAAGUCAGUCGAAGAUACCAGCUGGCUGCAACUGUUUAUUAAAAACACAGCACUGU
rnacentral:rRNA from 1 species